rnacentral:other from 1 species
UAAACCCUACAUGGUACGAAUUGUGUUAUUUUUAGAACCUACAAGUUUCUAAAAGGGAGAGUCUCCUUUUAAUAUGGCGUGCAUAACUUGUUUACAUUUUAUCCCAGAAGUAUUAAAGCACUCACCCACCUGUCAAGACAGGUCCUUAAAAAGACACUCGAAAAGCGGCCAAUGUGGGGUUUAU